rnacentral:rRNA from 1 species
AUACGGAGGGUGCAAGCGUUACUCGGAAUCACUGGGCGUAAAGCGCGCGCAGGCGGGCUGAUAAGUUGGAUGUGAAAGCCUACGGCUCAACCGUAGAACUGCAUCCAAAACUGUCAGUCUAGAGUGUGGGAGAGGAAGAUGGAAUUAGUUGUGUAGGGAUAAAAUCCGUAGAGAUAACUAGGAAUACCAAAAGCGAAGGCAAUCUUCUGGAACACUACUGACGCUGAGGCGCGAAGGCGUGGGGAGCAAACAGGAUUAGAAACCCCAGUAGUCC